rnacentral:rRNA from 1 species
UAAGACGGAGGGUGCUAGCGUUGUUCGGAAUGACUGGGCGUAAAGGGCGCGUAGGCGGCUUGUGAAGUCGGGUGUGAAAGCCCGGGGCUCAACCCCGGAACGGCAUCCGAUACUCUCAGGCUCGAGACCGGGAGAGGAGGGUGGAAUACCCAGUGUAGAGGUGAAAUUCGUAGAUAUUGGGUGGAACACCGGUGGCGAAAGCGGCUCUCUGGCCCGGUUCUGACGCUGAGGCGCGAAAGCGUGGGGAGCAAACAGGAUUAGAUACCCUGGUAGUCCACGCCCUAAACGAUGUGGGCUGGGCGUCGGGAGGCUCGCCUCUCGGUGCCGGAGCUAACGCGGUAAGCCCACCGCCUGGGGAGUACGGCCGCAAGGUUA